GAUUGCCGGACAAGUCACACAGUGAUAGGAGCAGGGGUGCAGUAGUCUGGCCUGAGGGGUAGAUAGGCGAGGGGUGGGAAAGAAUAGCAGAGCCAGUGUAUCCUAUUCUUUGGGCUUCAGGUACCUAAAACAGAUCCAGGACCUGCCCCCAACUGGCCUCCCUGAGAUGAACCUGCUGGAGAUGUACAGCCUGAAGGAUGAGAUGGGCAACCUCAGGAAGUUACUAGAGUCUACCCCAUCGCCAGUCGUCUUCUGCCACAAUGACAUCCAGGAAGGUAGGAGAAGGCAUCUGAGUCUCCUAACCCAAGAUGGAAGAGCCAGAGGGCUCUGGAGUGAGCAGAACCUCACCCCAUUCCCCCAGGGAACAUCUUGCUGCUCUCAGAGCCAGAAAAUGCUGACAGCCUCAUGCUGGUGGACUUCGAGUACAGCAGUUAUAACUAUAGGGGCUUUGACAUUGGGAACCAUUUUUGUGAGUGGGUUUAUGAUUAUACUCACGAGGAAUGGCCUUUCUACAAAGCAAGGCCCACAGACUACCCCACUCAAGAACAGCAGGUAUGUGGGCCAGAGGCUGGGGAGCAGGACCCAUCCUGUGAGGAAGGAGGGAGGUGGAGUCUGGAAGGAAUGGCCGGAAAGGAUGUUACCUGGGAAAUACUCCACAGUCUCCCCAAUUCCUGACUCUUGGCCAUUGAUCGUAGUUGCAUUUUAUUCGUCAUUACCUGGCA
rnacentral:lncRNA from 1 species